rnacentral:snRNA from 1 species
AAAAAGGGUCGGUUGGCUAAAUAUGCCACUCUUUCUGCGUGGCGAGUGCUGUAUGGCUAUUAAGUCAUAUGGCCGCCGACAUAAUUUGUGUAACUUUAUAGGGUUGGCUCCUUGGCCGACCCUCAA